rnacentral:rRNA from 1 species
AACGAACGCUGGCGGCAGGCCUAACACAUGCAAGUCGAGCGGACAUCUUCGGAUGUUAGCGGCGGACGGGUGAGUAACGCGUGGGAACGUGCCCUUUGCUUCGGAAUAGCCUCGGGAAACUGGGAGUAAUACCGGAUGUACCCUUUGGGGGAAAGAUUUAUCGGCAAAGGAUUGGCCCGCGUUGGAUUAGGUAGUUGGUGGGGUAAUGGCCUACCAAGCCGACGAUCCAUAGAUGGUUUGAGAGGAUGAUCAGCCACACUGGGACUGAGACACGGCCCAGACUCCUACGGGAGGCAGCAGUGGGGAAUCUUAGACAAUGGGGGAAGCCCUGAUCGAGCCAUGCCGCGUGAGCGAUGAAGGCCUUAGGGUUGUAAAGCUCUUUCACCGGGGAAGAUAAUGACGGUACCCGGAGAAGAAGCCCCGGCUAACUCCGUG